GUUGGGGUGGCAGAGCCUGGUAAACGCAAAAGACCUAAGUUCUUUAUUUCAGAGGUUCAAAUCCUCUCCUCAACU